UACGUAGGGGGCUAGCGUUGUCCGGAAUCAUUGGGCGUAAAGGGCGCGUAGGCGGCUUUGCAAGUGACGGGUGAAAUCCCUCGGCUUAACCGAGGAACUGCCUGUCAAACUGCAUGGCUUGAGACCGGGAGAGGUGAGUGGAAUUCCCAGUGUAGCGGUGAAAUGCGUAGAUAUCUGGAGGAACACCGGUGGCGAAGGCGACGUCCUGGACCGGCAUUGACGCUGAGGCGCGAAAGCCAGGGGAGCAAACGGG
rnacentral:rRNA from 1 species